rnacentral:misc_RNA from 1 species
AACGCACGAGACCUGCGGACCUGCGGAAGGAUCAUUACCGAGUUAUCCAACUCCCAACCCCUGUGAAUCAUACCUUUAAUUGUUGCUUCGGCGGGACUUCGCGCCCGCCGGGGACCCAAACCUUCUGAAUUUUUUAAUAAGUAUCUUCUGAGUGGUUAAAAAAAAUGAAUCAAAACUUUCAGCAAUGGAUCUCU